rnacentral:rRNA from 1 species
AGUUAACACCUGCAUUUAUUUGACGUUACCUACAGAAGAAGCACCGGCUAACUCCGUGCCAGCAGCCGCGGUAAUACGGAGGGUGCGAGCGUUAAUCGGAAUUACUGGGCGUAAAGCGCAUGCAGGCGGCCUGUUAAGUCAGAUGUGAAAGCCCGGGGCUUAACCUCGGAAUUGCAUUUGAAACUGGCAGGCUAGAGUCUUGUAGAGGGGGGUAGGAAUUUCAGGUGUAGCGGUGAAAUGCGUAGAGAUCUGAAGGAAUACCAGUGGCGAAGGCGGCCCCCUGGACAAAGACUGACGCUCACGAUGCGAAAGCGUGGGGACGCAAACAGGAUUAGACUACCCGUGGUAG